GUGUCAGCAGCCGCGGUAAUACAGAGGGUGCAAACGUUGCUCGGAAUCAUUGGGCGUAAAGCGCACGUAGGCGGUCCGAUAAGUCGGUAGUGAAAGCCCUCGGCUUAACCGAGGAAGUGCUAUCGAAACUGUCGGACUUGAAUACCGGAGAGGAUCGCGGAAUUCCCGGUGUAGAGGUGAAAUUCGUAGAUAUCGGGAGGAACACCAGUGGCGAAGGCGGCGAUCUGGACGGAUAUUGACGCUGAGGUGCGAAAGCGUGGGGAGCAAACAGGAUUAGAAACCCCAGUAGUCC
rnacentral:rRNA from 1 species